CUCCACGAUUCCAUCAGCUAACCAGAAAACGACUCUCAGCGACAAAGCAACGUAUAAAAACGCGCGCAUUCGUUGCGAAGACGAUUCUUUUCUCGUGAUUAGCUUUUGAUACUUGUGUAUUUAUAUGGUUUAGAAUAUAUUAGUCGUAGAAUCCAACUGUGUAACAAUUAUUUUUGUCUACCCCUCAUUUCUCGAAAGUUGCGAAAUCGAAAUUGGAAUCGCGGACUGCAUCAUCCCGCGCAGUGCCGGAACAUUCGAGAACGAGCGGCUCUGAUUUCUCACCAGAUUCAUCGAUCGUUUCGCCAGACUCCGGAGACCCAGGGUAAACUCGCUGAAAAGCAGAAUGACCUAAAAGCGGAGUCAUCACUCUGUUGAUCGUCCACGUACUCCGAGCAUUAGCGGUAUGAUUUUGGCUCGAUUGGCGGCCAGUACAGAUUCUCGUGUCGACGUGAGAGGAUUGUGUGUUGUUGGAUGAAAAGGAAGAAAUUAAGUGAAAAAAAGAAAUUAAGUGAAAAAGUUUGCAAUGAAGGUGAUUACUGUGGGGGAGGAGACAGCGGUUUUCAAGGCUUUUGUGCGGAUGUAUGAAAAAGCUUUCCAUGUCAGGGGAAAAAGGGGUCGAUGGGAAAGAAUGGACUUGGUGAAUGAAAGACAUUGCUUUCGAUGGGCGACUGGCGAAUUCUGGAGGAAUUCUGGAGGAUCGGCGAGGAGGAUUGGGACAAUGAGGAGGAGUGGAAUACCUUCGGGUUCUGCGAGCUGUAUAGUGUCGAGUGAUAUUAUUCGCAAUAAUAAUAAACUAUUUUAGAUCCCCAAAGAUUUUUUUUAACUUAAUAUCCUCCCUAUAUUCCUCUUUUUUUUUUUAGAUGUAAGUGAAUGCGAUAUAGGGGCGAGUGCGCUGGAGGGUGGGUGAACUUGGGUCGUCGCGAGCGGGCUGCUGGAGGGGGUACCGAUCG